GCAAAAGUGGGAUACAAACAGCCACAAAGUCCAGUUAAAUGCAGAAAUGUGUGGCAUCAAGUGCAAUGUCAAAUGUAAAUGUCUUUCGUUUCUCUCAGUGCAUGCAAACGUUCAUUGAUGCUCACGCGCUCAUCCUCAGGCGAAGUUUGCUUGGGUUUUUGCUUUUUAUGACUCCACUUUCUGCUGUCCUUUUUGCCCUAUUUGCUUAGUGCGUGUGUGUGUGGGGGAGAAGGGGUGCCUAGGGAAAGGGUUACUUGAGGUUCGACCCAACCAUUCCCAUUUGCCAUUUCCCAUCGCAUCCCUUCUGUGGGCUGGGAAAACAGUUAAAAACGGCGCUAAUUUUAUGACGGCACAACUUUGGC
rnacentral:lncRNA from 1 species